rnacentral:lncRNA from 1 species
GCAUAUCAUAUACUUAAUUUUCAGUAACUGGCAGUCUGCAAACAGCAUGAAUGUCUUAGAAGCCCUCUGGGGAUAUGCUGGCAAGAGUAUGGAGUAUCCAUAACAGGUUUUAAAUCUGAGGUCCUCACCCAGGAGCAAACAGCUUGAAAUUAUCCCAGCCUUACUAGGGGGCAAAAGUGUGCUAUCAGCAGCUGGGGAAUGGCCUUUCGCUGAGGGGCAUGACUCUGUAAAUCACCUUGCAUCACAGCAAGAUAAGAGAGUUCACUUGAGUGACACUGAUGAUGGAUAUCACAGACGGACUGAAGCACAUGAUCUAAACACAAGAAAUCUCAGGAAAAAGACAGCAGUCACUGAUCUAUUUAAGUUAGAACCUGCACUUGAUGUGGCUAGAAGAUUGAAAGACAGUAAAGUUUCACAGGACAAAUGUCAUAAAAUACAAACCUCUACAUCUUGCUAACUGUCAAAGUCUGAGGAUCGUCUUUAUCACAAACAACCGAAAAAGACGGUACAUUUAACUCUCACACCAAAAUCCAAUAAUUCCCAAAGUACUCAUGCUAUGAGUUAUCUGUUACCUAGCACCAUGCUUCUCUGCUAAGUGAUGAGAGCUUCUUUUUUGAUACGUUCCUCUGUAGUUGACUAUCUUGAGUUUGACUAUGCCUGGGGUAUUUCAGCUGUAAAAAGAAGUUAUUUUUUAAACCAUAUGAUGUGCAUGGGAAAUGUUUAGCACAUGGCUGCUGCUCACAGUACUGCCAUGUAAUCAUGCAAGCUCUAAACAAGCUACUGAACUCUGACAGCUGAUUCUCUGUGAUUAGACAGCUAUGGUCAGGCAUAAUACCUAGUUUAGACACUGCUCAGAUUUAUUUACAUUCCACCACUGCAUACAGCAUUGGCCGGUCUGUUUUGAAAAUCUUACCCAAAGUCAGACAAAUGCCGAAUAUCCUUUGGAGUGAAGGCUUUGAAAACCGAAGUCUUCAAGGACAGGAUCUUUGUCAAAAAGGGUAAAUGUGUCUGCAAUAAACUGCUUGGUCAAAGGACUGUGUAGGUUAAG